rnacentral:misc_RNA from 1 species
UGUCAAGGGAGGAACACAAGGGAA